CAUAGAAAUUUAAUCUUACUAGUAGAAGACCCACGAAGAUACUCCUAGAUUCACAAGCUGCAAGAUAGAAAACCAAGCUUUUAUAUGUCCUUGAAGCAU